AUGGCUGCGGACGACGGCGACGCCACCACCGUCGUCGCGCCAAUGCCGUGCCCGGAGGAGGAGCGCGAGCAGCCUUCCCAUGCCGCGGACUCCCCCGUCGACCCAAUGACGGCGCCGCCGCCGCCGCCGCUGGAGGAGGAGGAGGAGGAGCAGCAGCAGCCGGGGGAGCGGACUACCACCGCCGCGGACGCGGUCGUCGCUCCAAUGCCGCCGCCGCCGCCGCUGUCACAGCCGGAGGAGAAGCAGGAGGAGCAGCCGGUGCCCGCCGCGGCGCUGCCCCAGCCGCUCGAAUCGGGUCCGGCUUCAACCGAGGAGGGACACAAGGAGACAUCAGAAGAUAAAAAUCUCUUCAAGGUUCCAGGUCCAGCCGAUGAGGGACACGAGGAGACAUCAAAGGACAAAAUUCCCUUCAAGGUUCCAGGUCUGGCCGAUGAUGGACACGAGGAGACAUCAAAGGACAAAAAUCCCUUAAAGGUUCCAGGUCUGGCAGAUGAGGAUGACUGGGAGACCUGUCAAGACCGGAAGCUCUUGCGGCUUCUGGGUCGAGCAGAUGAGAGAUACCACAAGGGGAUCGGGCAAGGCCGACGUCCUGAGGAUGAUGAUUUGGAGGAUUCUUGUGGUUGUUCCCACUAUAGGAGGUCGCGCUUUUGUUACCGUCAUGAACAAAGAGAUCCUAGAUAUUACGAUCAUGAACUUCAUUGUGGCGGAUUUCGUCGGAACUGUUAUCCGAAUUGGCAUCAUAGUGCACAUCUUGGAAAUGGUUAUCCCGAUUGGAAUGGUUACCCAGGUCAUCCACAUCGUGGCUACGGCUACCCAGUUGGACGAUUUGAUCAAGAUUGUAUGGAUCUGUACAAUCCGCGUCUGAUGGAUUCUUGGGAUGACAAGCUUGUAGAUACUCAAUGCUGUUCUUGGUACAAACUGACUCGUGGAAAGAAUGAUUUCCCUGUGGCUGCAUCGCUAAGUAAUCCUGAGAAGUGGAUAUGCUUCCUUAAUUGUAUUCUCCAGUGUGUAGUUCACACAGUUCCUCUGGUGUCGAAGCUUCUGAAAGAUCGUCACCUAGGUCCAUGUCCUACUGGUUCUGACGAAUUCUGCUGUUACUGCUCCCUACGACACCAUGCUUCUGAAGUUAUCAGGCUCUCAGGAGAUGUUCUCUACCCCAGAAAGUUUGUCAAACGCCUCAAGUCAAUAUUUCGAGAUUUCGAGCAGGGACAACACCAAGAUGCACAUGAAUUCCUCCGCUGCUUGCUUGAUAAAUUAGAUGAGGUAACAGUCGCUCCCAGGUCUGAAUCUGAGGAACCAUCUUCUAUUGUCAAAGAAUUUUUUGGGGGGCAACUGAAAAGCCAGUUGAAUUGUCCAAAGUGCAAUCAUUGCUCGGACAGAUUGGAGUCUUUCCUUGACCUUAACCUGGAGGUUAACCAAAUGGACACUAUCAUGGAUUCACUAUCAUCUUAUACCAAAAUUGAGGUUGUGGAAGAUUUCAUUUGUGAUGGAUGCAAAUCUCGUGUGAACAUGGAAAAGCACCUCAAGGUGGAGCAGGCUCCAGAAGUUCUUGUAAUCCAGCUCAAGCGGUUUCAAAAUUUGGGGAGUGAUAUAUCUAAGAUUCAUGACAUGGUGAAGUAUCAGUUAGAGCUGGAUUUAAACCCCUUCAUGAGCUCCCCUGAUGACAAACCUCAAUGCUAUGAUUUGUAUGGAGUUGUAGAACACUGGGGUAACACAGCCAAGGGUCACUACGUUUGUUAUAUCCGCUCAUCAGAAACUGAUUGGUUUCUCUUUGACGAUGAUAAGAUUGUGAAAAUGACUGAGGACAGACUUUUGGAGAAAAAAGCAUAUGUUCUGUUCUAUGUCAAGAAAGGUUCUUCCCCGUGGUUCUCUACGUUACUUGAGAAGAAGGAAAUGUUGCUGUCGGAUUAUUUUGAAGAAUUGGCGGGCAAAGGAUUAGAUGAGGAUGGUGCUCCCAAAGCGGGAAGCUACAGUAGCAGUGGUAGUGACAGUGACAAUGACAGUGUUGAACAAGAUGUCACGGAGCAUUUUUUUGGUGGACCAGCAGAGAAAAAUGAAGCUGGCCCCAGUUCGGCGGGCUUGUCACAAGGAGUCCAAGGAAUUGAAAACGGCAGUACCCUUUGCAGUGUACCUGACAAAAACGAAGUGGGUUGCAGCCUAGGUGUAGUACCAUCUGGAGGAACACAGAAACCCACCUCCCUUACCCUAUCAAGUGUGGAAAAUGGAGACGCUAGUGGGUUGCCGUUGCUAUUGGAGAACAAAGAGAAGUCCAGCCAUGGCACCAGGGAAGCGAACCAUAAUGGGCCAUCAUCAGAGGUGCUUGAUGCAGACUCCCAUAUAGGGUCAUCACAAGAGAAUGGGAGAAGCUGCAACCUACUCCAGUCUUCAUCACAUAAACAUGAAGACUACUGUCCUGAAAACUUGACAUUGCACGAAGAAGAAGAAGAUGGGAUGGCAGGCUCUUGUGAUUCUCCUGCUGGAUCGCUGCACGCACGUGGGAGUGCUGGCACUUCAAGGCUCGGAACAGUAGGCUCCAACUCCGACCGCACUACUAAUGGCGAGUGCAAUACUAAGUUCAUUUAG
rnacentral:rRNA from 1 species